rnacentral:rRNA from 1 species
AUUGAACGCUGGCGGCAUGCCUUACACAUGCAAGUCGAACGGCAGCGGGGGUGAAGCUUGCUUUUCCUGCCGGCGAGUGGCGAACGGGUGAGUAAUACAUCGGAACGUGCCCUGUCGUGGGGGAUAACUAGUCGAAAGAUUAGCUAAUACCGCAUAAGACCGGAGGGUGAAAGGUGGGGACCGCACGGCCUAAUGCUAUAGGAGCGGCCGGUGUCUGCUGAGCUAGGUGGUGGGGUAAAGGCCUACCAAGGCGACGAUCAGUAGCUGGUCUGGGAGGAUGAUCAGCCACAUUGUGACUGAGACACGGCCCAGACUCCUACGGGAGGCAGCAGUGGGGAAUUUUGGACAAUGGGCGAAAGCCUGAUCCAGCAAGGCCGCGUGUGUGAAGAAGGCCUUCGGGUUGUAAAGCACUUUCGUCCGGAAAGAAAUGGCUAUGGUUAAUACCUGGGGUCGAUGACGGUACCGGAAGAAUAAGGACCGGCUAACUACGUGCCAGCCGCCGCCGUAA